AUCGGCGGGUGAAGUAGAGGUGGAGCGCAGCGAGAGAAGAGGAGCGCACGCGGGCUUCGUGGCAGCGGUGAUCGACGACGUAGCGGCACCGGUGGCUGGAGGGGCAGCCGGUUCUGAAGCGGUCCUCGAGGCGGGCGAAGGAGACGAAGCAGAUGUUCCCGGUCUAGCUCGGGUAGGAGCUACGUAGCGGCCUGGCGCGGCUAGGGGAGGCAGUCGCAAGCGGAGCCGGUGCCGAAGCUAGGUGGCAGCAAGCUUGGAGGGCCUUGGUGGACGAGAGCGGCAACGGUGGUGAUGGUGCACCGCCGACAGCUACGGCAACACUAACUGAUGCAGUGGCUGCUGGGGAGCAAGAACAGACUCGUUGGUCUACAGCCUCGGGUCCUCGGUCUACGGUGGCGGCUACGGAUGAUGAUGCACCUCUGGCUGCUACUGGUCCUCAUCAAUCCUCCGAGGGUCCGUUCUCCGGAACGGAAAAGCAAGCAUCUACGAAAACACGAUCGGAAGAAUUCCGUUUGAACAGAUUGAGUACAGACAUGAGUCUAUAACAACGAAGGCGACUGAGAACACAAAAGCUCGAAUACAUAAGCUCGGGAGCUCCGGGG
rnacentral:rRNA from 1 species